rnacentral:snRNA from 1 species
GCCAAACCUGAGAAAUGUU